AUUGAACGCUGGCGGCAGGCCUAACACAUGCAAGUCGAGCGGAUGAAGGGAGCUUGCUCCUGGAUUCAGCGGCGGACGGGUGAGUAAUGCCUAGGAAUCUGCCUGGUAGUGGGGGAUAACGUCCGGAAACGGGCGCUAAUACCGCAUACGUCCUGAGGGAGAAAGUGGGGGAUCUUCGGACCUCACGCUAUCAGAUGAGCCCAGGUCGGAUUAGCUAGUUGGUGGGGUAAAGGCCUACCAAGGCGACGAUCCGUAACUGGUCUGAGAGGAUGAUCAGUCACACUGGAACUGAGACACGGUCCAGACUCCUACGGGAGGCAGCAGUGGGGAAUAUUGGACAAUGGGCGAAAGCCUGAUCCAGCCAUGCCGCGUGUGUGAAGAAGGUCUUCGGAUUGUAAAGCACUUUAAGUUGGGAGGAAGGGCAGUAAGUUAAUACCUUGCUGUUUUGACGUUACCAACAGAGUAAGCACCGGCUAACUUCGUG
rnacentral:rRNA from 1 species